UUAUCCAUAUUAACCUGCAAUAUUAACCCCUCUCACGCAGUUUACUCAUGUGCCCUCUCAAAAACUCUUCCUCUGCGUGCAGUCAGACGCUGCUGUGCUGCAUUCAUGCAUACAUGU